rfam:Beta vulgaris subsp. vulgaris contig122232.1, whole genome shotgun sequence.
AGGAGCCGUGCGAGAUGAAAGUCUCAUGCACGGUUUUGAAUGAAAGAAAGAAGUGAGGAAUCCUCUUUUCGACUCUGAC